UACGGAGGGGACUAGCGUUGUUCGGAAUUACUGGGAGUAAAGCGUGCGCAGGCGGUUCGUUGUGUCGGUGGUGAAAGCCCCGGGCUUAACCUGGGAAUGGCCAUGGAAACUGGCGAACUGGAGUGUGGCAGAGGGGGGUGGAAUUCCGCGUGUAGCAGUGAAAUGCGUAGAGAUGCGGAGGAACACCGAUGGCGAAGGCAGCCCCCUGGGCUAGCACUGACGCUCAGGCACGAAAGCGUGGGGAGCAAACAGG
rnacentral:rRNA from 1 species